AAAAAUGGGGAAAAUGUGGGGGUCUACCGCGGAGGGUCUCCGUUUUCGGCUCAGCUCCUCACUGAAGCGCCACCCGGCGAAUUUUCAUUCAUUCCGCGUUCAGAGUAAAAGUAGCUGAAAACCGCGUUGCGUGCCCAGCUCGAGCCUUUAACACGGUACAAUCACGCGAGCUCUCGCAUCUUAUCCCGUCAAUACGCACGCGGCGCUGUCGGUCUCAGAUCACGGACAGACUUUAUCCGGAGUAGAACCUUAUAAAUGACCCUCAGGGCCGCUGAAGACCGGGGCUGUGUGUACGGCGAGCCUCGAGGCCUUCACCAUAAAGCAACGCUAAAGCGGACUGGGGCCGUUUUGUUUCCAAAGUGUACAAAUUAAUCGAACUGAGACCACCCAGAGAGCUGGUCUCGGGUGGGUUCGUUUCUGAGGGCGUUUAGAGGGUCUGAGUUCGUUUGGCGUCUUCACAUAUGCAAAAGACACCAUGACUCAGCGCUCGGAGUCCACUUCAGGCGCUGGAACGGCCCAAGUGUGGAAACGCCCUUAAAUAAGACUUUUCUGACCAGUGCUGCAGUGAGUGGCUUCACACCCAGCCACCAGCAAGCUUUUCUCCAUACUGCCAGUUCACCCUGCUUUCACUACAGGGAGCCAGAGCCGUAGUUGACUUCAUGGGGCUGGCCACAGACUGGAUGGCUUACAUGGGGGCCUCACCUAGUGAGACGGAUCACUCAAGUUCUGGAGUCUCUUCCAGUUUACCUUUGGCCCUGUGUUAAGAGGACUAGGCUUCCUAAAGAUUUUUUUUUUUUGUGGAGAGGGGCUAUACCACCCUCGCUUCAGUCUCUGUGUUGCUGAGUGGGGUGAUGUGGCAGAGUCCCAGGUGGCCGAGAAGGGUCCCACAGCACCACCUAUUGUGCUGGAGAGUGCCUGCACUGAGCUCCACAGUGCUGCCCAGAGCUCUGGAGAACACCAGUGAGAGUGUUCCAUGACUCCGUCCAGGGCCAUGGAGAGCACUGGGUCAAUGAUGCCUGCCCUCAAGGCUCUGUCCGAUGCCAUGGAGAGCACUGGCUCAUUGAUAACAGCCCUCAAGGCUCUUCCCUGUGCUAUAGAAAGCACUGGCCUUGUGAUGUUUUCCCUUAUCAUGACACCCUUCAGGUACUAGGCCAGAGAUGGCUCACCAAGACACCUAGCUGCCUCUCCUGGGGUGGCAACUACUGGAGCUGAUGCUUCUGUUCUUGCUCCAGGGCCAGCUUCCCAAGGUGCUGAUCCUCUUGUGGUGGUCUCCUGUGCAUGCUCAUCCUUUUGCUGGCUCCCAGAGUUGCUCCAGUGCUACCUUUUAGGAAUGGUCCACCUGGGCCAGCUAGCAGGGCUGUUCCUUCUCUGCUAGGUCAAUAGAUUGUGCUACAGCCAGCUUCCCAGUUUCUAUCGUCUGCUUCAGAAGCCAUGCCUAUGGGGUGGGGUGAGGUGUCAUGGCUCCCCCAUCUGGGGACAUUCUACUUGGGCCUUCCCUGGCUCUUUCCAUUUGCACACCUCCAAGUGAUCCUGGGCUCUCUAAAUGCCUGCCUGUGUUUUGGCCCCUGCCUAUGGAUUUUGAGUUUCUGAUUGACCCAAAUAAAGCCCCUUUGCACUUCUA